rnacentral:rRNA from 1 species
UACGUAGGGGGCAAGCGUUGUCCGGAUUUAUUGGGCGUAAAGAGCGUGUAGGCGGUCUGGUAGGUCCGUUGUGAAAACUCGAGGCUCAACCUCGAGACGCCGAUGGAAACCCUCAGACUAGAGUCCGGAAGAGGAGAGUGGAAUUCCUGGUGUAGCGGUGGAAUGCGCAGAUAUCAGGAGGAACACCGGUGGCGAAGGCGGUCUCUGGCCAGUGAACUGACGCUGAGGAGCGAAGCGUGGGAGCGAACAGGA